CAGCAGCCGCGGGAAUACGAAGGGUGCAAGCGUUAAUCGGAAUUACUGGGCGUAAAGCGUGCGUAGGCGGUUUGUUAAGUCUGUUGUGAAAUCCCCGGGCUCAACCUGGGAAUGGCAAUGGAUACUGGCAAGCUAGAGUGUGUCAGAGGAUGGUGGAAUUCCCGGUGUAGCGGUGGAAUGCGUAGAGAUCGGGAGGAACAUCAGUGGCGAAGGCGGCCAUCUGGGACAACACUGACGCUGAGGCACGAAAGCGUGGGGAGCAAACAGGAUUAGAUACCCCAGUAGUCCCUGUCUCUUAUAC
rnacentral:rRNA from 1 species